UCUCAUCAUAUCACCCUGUAGCCCAAGCCUGGUUGCCCACUGAAGCUAAGCAGGGCUGAGCCUGGUCAGUACCUGGAUGGGAGACCUCCUGGGAAAACUAGGUUGCUGCUGGAA
rnacentral:rRNA from 1 species